GUGCUCACUUUGAUAGCACAUACACUGAAAUUGGAACCAUCCAGAGAAGAUUAGCAUGGCCCCCGUGCAAGGAUGACAGGCAAAUUUGUGAAGAGUUCCAUGAAGAG
rnacentral:snRNA from 1 species